rnacentral:misc_RNA from 1 species
GAUGAAGAACGUAGCGAAACGCGAUACGUAAUGUGAAUUGCAGAAUUCAGUGAAUCAUCGAAUCUUUGAACGCACCUUGCGCCCCUCGGCAUUCCGAGGGGCAUGCCUGUUUGAGUGUCACGGAUCCUUCGAACCCCGCCGGUCUCCGACGAGCCGGCCGCCUGGGUUCGGUCCUGGGCGCUACGCCACCCCUCCGGGGCUGGCCCGCCUCACAAGCAUCAGCUGGGCCUCGCGGCGUGGGCGGGCUCCGAUCGGCGUGAUAAGUCAUCUGCCGAGAGGGUGCCCGUCCGUCCCGCGGAUCGCGGUCCGCUCCCAACCCCUCCCCGCGCGCCGUCCCCCCCCGGGGAGCGCGCGGGGACGUUUCGACGCUCUGGCCUCAAAUCAGGUAGGACCACCCGCUGAACUUAAGCAUAUCAAUAAGCGGAGGA